rnacentral:lncRNA from 1 species
GUGGAAACUUCCCCUGAAUGGUUAUCAAAUAGGUUGCUAAAGCUAAAACGAUCCGCACGCGCAAGAUCCAACGACCCCCUCAUCAAAGAUGACCAAGAGGAAUACUAUCACAAGUUACAAAAUUGCUUUGUCAUACCUUGUAGCUUCGAGGAAUACUAUCACCGUCGCAUACCAAAAAUCAUUAUCGAAUCCGAGGUCCUUGGAGUAGCAUCCGAGGUCCUUGGAGUAGCCUCCGAGCAGGACGACGGUGGCCCAGGUGAAGGCCAGCGUGCCCAAGGCGUUGCCAACCCUCUCGAUUAGCGUGACGGAGCGAACGAAGCGAUUCAGCCACAUCUCCGGCGCAGCGGCGGCCUUGCCUGCUCGGCCGACGCCGUGAGCUGGUAUCCAGACGUGGUGCUCUCCGCUGCCGCCGCCGGUGCUGUUGGCCAUUGCUUGGACGGGUCGGCUGGCGCUCGGGAGCC